UUCCACCGAGACUGAGGCGGUCUGACGAGAAGAGCGGGUCCUGCCUUCAGAUGUUUGGGACUCAGCUGAGGGUGUAGGUCCCCGCGGUGGGGGCUGGGCCGCCCUGGGAUGUGAGGAGACAAAGGGAUCCAUAUCCAAGUCUCCGUUUCCUGCUUUGAGACUCGGUGCCUCGGCUGUCUCGUAGUGGAACAUCAGAGAAGGGUAUGGACUCUGAGCCCCAGAAGCUGGAGCUGAUAGAAAAGAACCAAGUGUGAUGUUGAGUCUGCCAGACAGGUUCCUGAAGCAAGUGAAGAGAUCGAGCCCCAUCACUGGGACACUUCAGUUAAUUUUGGUGUUGGGCAUACGUGAGGGGAGCAAAUGUCAAGAUCUGCGCUGGAAUCCUUCAAGGUAAUUUCUUAACCUAUU